UCCGUAGGGGGCAAUCGUUGUCCGGAAUUAUUGGGCGUAAAGCGCGCGCAGGCGGUCUCUUAAGUCUGAUGUGAAAGCCCACGGCUCAACCGUGGAGGGUCAUUGGAAACUGGGGGACUUGAGUGUAGGAGAGGAAAGUGGAAUUCCACGUGUAGCGGUGAAAUGCGUAGAUAUGUGGAGGAACACCAGUGGCGAAGGCGACUUUCUGGCCUACAACUGACGCUGAGGCGCGAAAGCGUGGGGAGCAAACAGG
rnacentral:rRNA from 1 species